AUUGAACGCUGGCGGCAUGCCUUACACAUGCAAGUCGAACGGUAACGCGGGGCAACCUGGCGACGAGUGGCGAACGGGUGAGUAAUGCAUCGGAACGUGCCCAGUAGUGGGGGAUAGCCCGGCGAAAGCCGGAUUAAUACCGCAUACGACCUACGGGUGAAAGGGGGGGAUCGCAAGACCUCUCGCUAUUGGAGCGGCCGAUGUCAGAUUAGGUAGUUGGUGGGGUAAAGGCCCACCAAGCCGACGAUCUGUAGCUGGUCUGAGAGGACGACCAGCCACACUGGGACUGGGACACGGCCCAGACUCCUACGGGAGGCAGCAGUGGGGAAGUUUGGACAAUGGGCGCAAGCCUGAUUCAGCCAUGCCGCGUGCGGGAAGAAGGCCUUCGGGUUGUAAACCGCUUUUGUCAGGGAAGAAAUCUUUUGAGUUAAUACCUCGGAAGGAUGACGGUACCUGAAGAAUAAGCACCGGCUAACUACGUGCCAGCCGCCGCCGUAA
rnacentral:rRNA from 1 species